CAGCCGCCGCGGGAAUACGGAGGGUGCAAGCGUUAAUCGGAAUUACUGGGCGUAAAGCGCACGCAGGCGGUCUGACAAGUCAGAUGUGAAAUCCCCGGGCUUAACCUGGGAACUGUAUUUGAAACUGUCAGGCUGGAGUCUUGUAGAGGGGGGUGGAAUUCCAGGUGUAGCGGUGAAAUGCGUAGAGAUCUGGAGGAAUACCGGUGGCGAAGGCGGCCCCCUGGACAAAGACUGACGCUCAGGUGCGAAAGCGUGGGGAGCAAACAGGAUUAGAUACCCCAGUAGUCCCUGUCUCUUAUAA
rnacentral:rRNA from 1 species